rnacentral:rRNA from 1 species
AUGUGUCGAUGUCAUGCUGUGCCGGAGAAGCCGAUGAAGUAUUGCAUCUCCUUUCACACCGGCCUGUUGUGUGGAUGGUGCAUGUCGGGGUUACUUCUUUUCGAUCUUUAUUUUGAUUAUGUUGACCGUGCACUUUUCAUAAUUUUUAUGUUGCUUGAUUCGUGCCCGAAAGAAAUCACAGGGUCCACCAGCGAGCGACCUAUUCUUGAGGUUCACCCACUGGAGCUCCGCUUCCCAUCUGAACCCAAUGACGACGACGACCACGAUGACUAUAUCAUGUGCCCACUGCACCUAACAAACAACACAAGCAAAAAUGUGGCAUUCAAACUUAUUGACAAGGGCAGGCGGUGCGAUAACCGGCAUUUGCACGGCAUUGUGCCUUCCAGAGCCACCUGCACAUUGUUUGUGAGAGCCAAAGAUAAUGAAAUGGACUACGGUAACAUCCUGCAGAGCACUAUAUCGGGUGAAAAAUACCUCGUGCAAUUCAAAGAUGAGGCCGAGUGCGAUGGAUUUUUCAAGGAAGCCAAAGAGAUGGGGAAUGCGGUGCAUGAGGUGGCACUGAAAGCUGUUUAUACUCCACAAGGAGAGAUGGGGUACACGAUGCAUGAGAUCACAGCAGGGAUGUAUAUUAUUGACUUGAUAUGUUCCCUGGAUGCUCAUCCAACAGAGCCAUGGAAGCAGUGGGUGCUGGCUGGGACAUCUGAUGGCUUCGUCCAUGUGUACCACUGCGACUUUGUAACAGAACCGCAAAAGAUCACGAGUUUCAGUGCAAGCAGCUUUGAUUCACUAGCCGUUCAUUCAAGCAAGCCCUAUGUGUUUUCAUCAGGGUGGGGCAUGACGCUUUGGGACUGGGACAAGGGCUGGCAGUGCGCACACGAUUUUGACUGUGUCGCAAAUAAAGUUGCAUUUAACCCACAAGACGCCAACAGUUUCGCGAGUGCGGCGUAUGGUGCAAAUGCAGAGAUUUGGAGCCUUGAUUCCGGUUGCCAAGAAUAUGAUCUCCCUGGGCAUUCCAAGGGUGUGAACUGCCUUGAUUUUUUCACACGUGAUGGUCGACAGUAUUUGAUCACUGGUUCUGAUGAUUGUACUGCCAAGAUAUGGGACUUGCAGAACAAGUCCUGCAUUCAUACACUGGAAACUAUGUCUCCAGUUACAUCUGUCGUUUCCCUUCCAGAUGCUCCGUAUCUGAUUACAGGAUCAAAAACUCACAUUGUUCAUGUGUGGAGCUCAACUGAUUUCCGGUUGGAGAGAAUUGUUAACAUUGGCGGUGGCAUGUGGAGUGGAAGUGAUGAUUUGGGACAUGUUCACAGUCUUGGGUGUUGUUUGGUGGGUUCACGAAGAGUUAUUAUUGGACAAGAAUUUGCAAUAUCAAUCAUGCAUAUCGAUGACAACUAA